rnacentral:sRNA from 1 species
GUCAUUUCUGGAUAUGCAAGCUCAGCCGACAAGGAUGUAGAUGGCAA